rnacentral:rRNA from 1 species
AUUGAACGCUGGCGGCAGGCCUAACACAUGCAAGUCGAGCGAGCGGCGGACGGGUGAGUAAUGUCUGGGAAACUGCCUGAUGGAGGGGGAUAACUACUGGAAACGGUAGCUAAUACCGCAUACCAUCGGAUGUGCCCAGAUGGGAUUAGCUCGUAGGUGGGGUAAAGGCCCACCUCGGCGACGAGCCCUUGCUGGUCUGAGAGGAUGACCAGCCACCCUGGAACUGAGACACGGUCCAGACUCCUACGGGAGGCAGCAGUGGGGAAUAUUGCACAAGGGGUGCAAGCCGGAUGCAGCCAUGCCGCGUGUAUGAAGAAGGCCUUCGGGUUGUAAAGUACUUUCAGCGGGGAGGCGUUACCCGCAGAAGAAGCACCGGCUAACUCCGUGCCAGCCGCCGCGGUAAUAC